rnacentral:rRNA from 1 species
CGAGCGAACAGACGAGGAGCUUGCUCCUCUGACGUUAGCGGCGGACGGGUGAGUAACACGUGGAUAACCUACCUAUAAGACUGGGAUAGCUUCGGGAAACCGGAGCUAAUACCGGAUAAUAUAUUGAACCGCAUGGUCCAAUAGUGAAAGACGGUUUUGCUGUCACUUAUAGAUGGAUCCGCGCCGCAUUAGCUAGUUGGUAAGGUAACGGCUUACCAAGGCAACGAUGCGUAGCCGACCUGAGAGGGUGAUCGGCCACACUGGAACUGAGACACGGUCCAGACUCCUACGGGAGGCAGCAGUAGGGAAUCUUCCGCAAUGGGCGAAAGCCUGACGGAGCAACGCCGCGUGAGUGAUGAAGGUCUUCGGAUCGUAAAACUCUGUUAUUAGGGAAGAACAAAUGUGUAAGUAACUAUGCACGUCUUGACGGUACCUAAUCAGAAAGCCACGGCUAACUACGUGCCAGCAGCCGCGGUAAUACGUAGGUGGCAAGCGUUAUCCGGAAUUAUUGGGCGUAAAGCGCG